UUGAAGUGAACUUUUGAACCCGCUGGGCCA
rnacentral:piRNA from 1 species